AGACAAUCUCUGAUAACUUGGAGAGUUUCCCAUACUUGUAGAACACCUGGCGUCCGGUGCCCAAAAAGGAGGUCUUCAGGAUGCGGCCGUCAUCACUGUAGUCGAAGAUGACCGAAGCAUUGCUUUCAGGAAGAUACUGUAGUUUGCAACUUUGCAGAUACCAGCAGAGGAAGAAAAACAUGGGAGACUGCUGAUCACCUAAUGUGGAGACUUGAACUUCAGCCAGACAAAGGUGGAAUCUUGAUAUGGAGGGGGCUGAAUCUGCAGAGAGGUCACCCGGUCUGGCUGGAUUUCAAUCCAGUUACACAGCAAAAGUUACGACCCAAGCUUUGCCAAUACUCAGCCUUCUACUCUCAGGGAUUGCCAGGCAUUUGAUAAACUCCUUGUUCCAUUGUUUCCUGACUGCCUAGUGCUUGUCUUGUUCUGCAGUUAUUUUUAUUUAUCAGUUUACUUAUCUGCCCCUCUCUUUCCCAUCUCCCCUCACCCUGGAGGUGAGGUGCAGGAAGUUAGGGGCUUCGCUUUACAUACCAUUAGGUGCAUAGCACAGUGCCUGGCUCAUAGUAGGUUCUCAAUAAAUAUGUGCUGAAUUUGAUAAAGAUUGGGAUCCCCAGUAUUCAUUUCCCUUCCCCAGGGAAGGGUUUAGCAUGAUGGUAGGAACUGUUCCCUUUUGGUGGCAGAGAAGUGACUGGAGCAGAAUCCACAUGUGCUGAGAUGACCCAGAUGAUCACAGAUAAGCAGGCAGCUGUGUGACAUACUGGCAAGUGAGCCAGACAGAAAGAGAGACCUGGGGUCAAGUCCUGGCAUUGCCCUUUCUAGCCAUUGUGUCCUUGGACAAGUAAUGUAGUUUCCCUGAGUCUGUGUCUUUUUAUCUGAAAAAUGGAGUUAGUAAUAAUUAUCUUCAUGGGACUAUUGAAAAAGUUAUAAUAAGAUAACACAAGCAAAGCAUUUAAAAUAGGGUUUACAUCAUUGUAAUCCUCAAUAAAUGUUAUACAUUGCUUUAAAAAAAGAUGUCAUGUGGGGCAAGUUGCCUGUACUGGGAAAACUAGGGUUGGCUAAAAUUCCCCACUGAGGUUUAUUGUUACUUCCUCUUGGGAAAUCUUCCCUGAACAUCUCAGGUGGAGUGACAUCUCCUCUGGGAUCCCAUCAGACCCUGCAUGUACCUCUGUCUUUUCACUUAACCUGUGAUUGUCCUGUGUCUGCAUAUUUUAUCAGACAUGCAAUUCCUUGAGUGCAAAGAAGAUACUUUAAAAUUUUUGUUCUUCCAGUACUUAGCAAAUUACCCGGCACAUAGUAGGUACAAACACCAAUUCAUUGGGCACGUUGACCAGACAGUGAAAUUUGAGAAAGAAGAUGGCAAGUGUGAAAAGAGGACCAAAGCUGUCUCUAGGUACAGCAUAAUGUAAAUCCCCAGAGCAGGAAAUGGCCGCCGUUUUCAGUACUAGGAAAUGGAGAACGUUUUCCCCAAGGUAUGAGUCCCAAAGGGAGAUGGCGUCUACCUUCUGAGUGAAGAGUUUGCCUUUUCCAGGGAAUAAAAAGAGUAUUAGAGGCUUUGAAGCUGGGAAACUUUCUCAGCUCUGUGAGGAAAGGGUGUAUCCCCGCCCACUCUGUGGUAACAGAUCGGUUGGAACCACUUACCCGGAGCUUCCUGCCAAAGAUGGUGACUUUGCCUUUAAUCUGCUCCUUUCUUAGGCGCCACUCAAUGGAGUUUAAGCCAUUCUCCAUAGGCAGGGAGAUGUUGCAACGCCCAAUGGUGGGGGUGAUGGUGCCUGCCAGGACGUGGGGCUCGCUGUGGAAGCUGACACCCAUCCCAUUAGCAUACAUCACCCUCAGGGUACCGUUAUUACAGAGCUGGUAGCUGUUCCGCACUUGAUCUGGAAAAAUGUUGCGGGUCUAGCCACAGGUCAGAUCCACCGCAAAUCAAAGCCCAGGAUUUUCCAAGAAAAUUGAGAGAAGAAUCAACCUUGCCCAUCCUCGUGCUUUAACUGCUGACUGUGCCUGAUACCACCUUCACUCAAGAGAGCUCUGAAGAAACUCACAUACAUGAGGGAGAUGGAGCCAGUGGGUGCUGAUAAUGUGUUUAUCUUCCCCAGUGGAAGCUACACGAAUCAAUCAGACUUCUGACCUUUUCCUUUAUGGAAAAGUUACGGGAAGGAAAUGUGAGUCAGAGACUCCCUUUACAGAUACACUGCUUCCUGAUUGUCUGGACAAAGGAGUGGCCUGGGCUGGCCUCUGGGAUGUCAGCUUUUGCGGCAGUGAGCAAGGGUAUACCUGUCACUCCUGUGACUCCCACCAUCACGCAGGAGAGAAUCUACAUCAUUAAUCACUUGGCAGAGCAGAAAUACAGUCAUUGAAACAGGCUCUGCUGUGGGAUAAUAGUCCAGAAAUGUCACCAUUUAUCUACUGAGAAGACACUUUUAUCCUCUGACAACAGGCUAGCCCACCGACAUUAUAUCUUAAUUAAAAGAAAAAUUAAUAGGCACAAUUCAUUUUCUGGCCAGCCCAGUGCUUGCCCUGGACUGCAAAACAUGUCUAAUAGCAACAAUAAGCACAGGGUGGUCAGAGACCUUUGAGAUCCCAGUCUUGGAGAGGGAUUGUUAAAGAGCUCCAGUCCCAGGGCAACAAACUCAUCAAACAAAUGCUUAAAAGAGAGAAUCAGAAUGGAAGAAGAAAAUAGGAAAUCUAGUUGUGGGCCAAGAGAAUAAAUGGCCUUUGAGAAGAUUAUGUGUACUGGGUUGGUGGGGAGACGUGGUGGUGGAAGGGUAAGAAGUAGGGAGAGAGUAUGUGGGGAGGAAAAUGGACAUUUUCAGGUAACUACAUAGACAGUUCAAAUAUCUAGACAUUAGUUGAGUGUAGAUGACAUUCUGCUGUAUCUGAUUAAGCAAUUUUCUAUAAGAUUGACUUCUUAUUGAGUUAGUUUGCUGUGGACACUUGAAUAAAAUGGAAAGCUGAGGGGUGUGCUGGACCCCUGGAAGUCCUCCCAGGCUCACAUGUUGGGCUUGGCUGGGUUCUGGGUCUGUGGGCGAGUUUGGGGGUAGGAUGGUAUGGGGGCAGGCUCACCUUGUAC